GUGCUAAGGUAGCAUAAUCAUUUAGUCUUUUAAAUGAAGACCAGUACAAAAGAUCUAACAUUUUAAUAAUUAUAUAUAAAUUAAUUUCCAAAAUUAUUUUUAAUGUUAAAAAACAUUAAUAUAAUAGAAAGACGACAAGACCCUAUUGAACUUAACUAAAGUUAAACUGGGGCAGUAAAUUAAUUAUUAUUUUAAUUUUUUUCCUUAAAAAUCCAAUAUUAUUGAUAACAAGUUACCAUAGGGAUAACAGCAUAAUAUUAAUUUAAAGUUCUUAUAAAAAUAAAAGAUUAUGACCUCGAUGUUGAAUUAAUUACCUAAUUAAUGCAAAAAUUAAACAAGGAAGUCUGUUCGACUUUUAAAUAAUUACAUGAUUUGAGUUCAGACCGGUAUAAGCCAGGUCGGUUUCUAUCUUCUAUUUUCUUUAUACAGUACGAAAGGACCUAUAAAUAUAAUAACAUUAAUAUAUUAGCAAAAUAUUGCAUUAGAAUUAGAAUCUAAUAAACUAAUA
rnacentral:rRNA from 1 species